rnacentral:rRNA from 1 species
GUAGGGAAUAUUGGGCAAUGGAGGCAACUCUGACCCAGCCAUGCCGCGUGCAGGAUGACGGCCCUCUGGGUUGUAAACUGCUUUUAUACGGGAAGAAAAAAUACUACGUGUAGUAUACUGACGGUACCGUAAGAAUAAGGAUCGGCUAACUCCGUGCCAGCAGCCGCGGUAAUACGGAGGAUCCAAGCGUUGUCCGGAUUUAUUGGGUUUAAAGGGUGCGUAGGCGGAUCUUUAAGUCAGUGGUUAAAGCCUGCAGCUUAACUGUAGAAUUGCCAUAGAAACUGAAGAUCUUGAAUGUGGUUAAAGUAGGCGGAAUGUAUCAUGUAGCGGUGAAAUGCUUAGAUAUGAUACAGAACACCGAUAGCGAAGGCAGCUUGCUGAACCAUUAUUGACGCUGAGGCACGAAAGCGUGGGGAGCGAACAGGAUUAGAAACCCUGGUAGUCC